GCGAAGAAGAGCACGCGGGCGCGGGAAAAAAUGAUUGUUUUGUCCCGUUUCCUUCCUCUAUCGGGAUUUUUGUCAAACACCUUCCGAUCUCAAAACCAAACGCGUUUUAUCAUCGCAGAAUCAACGCAUAAACGGUAAUUGCAACAUCAUUUCAUAAUUCUUCUUAUUUCGAGACCCUGAAUUCCUGCCAAAAGGACCAGAUUCACCAUUACAUUGAGUCUCUUCUCGACUAGAACCAGAAAAUGAAUCUCUCUGCGGUCACCGACGCGAAUGAAGUCGUGAAAAGGCAUAUAGAUGACUCACUUGCAAUGCUACCUCCUGGAUUAGUUUUAGCUAUUGUUUGUCCUGGUUGGAAAGUGACCCUUUUGGAGUCCAUGAACAAG
rnacentral:misc_RNA from 1 species